rnacentral:rRNA from 1 species
CCUACGGGAGGCAGCAGUGGGGAAUAUUGGACAAUGGGCGCAAGCCUGAUCCAGCCAUGCCGCGUGUGUGAAGAAGGCCUUCGGGUUGUAAAGCACUUUUAUCCGGAAAGAAAAGCUUUGGGUUAAUACCCUGAAGUCAUGACGGUACCGGAAGAAUAAGCACCGGCUAACUUCGUGCCAGCAGCCGCGGUAAUACGAAGGGUGCAAGCGUUACUCGGAAUUACUGGGCGUAAAGCGUGCGUAGGUGGUUUGUUAAGUCUGAUGUGAAAGCCCUAGGCUCAACCUGGGAAUUGCAUUGGAUACUGGCAGGCUAGAGUGCGGUAGAGGAUAGUGGAAUUCCCGGUGUAGCAGUGAAAUGCGUAGAGAUCGGGAGGAACAUCUGUGGCGAAGGCGACUAUCUGGGCCAGCACUGACACUGAGGCACGAAAGCGUGGGGAGCAAACAGGAUUAGAUACCCUGGUAGUCCACGCCCUAAACGAUGCGAACUGGAUGUUGGGUGCAACUAGGCACCUCAGUAUGAGACGUAACGACGUUAGUUACGCCGCCGUCGGGGUAGGUUACGGUUCGUCGAAGACGUAGAAACGUUAAAAGGUUAAAGUUAGACGGCGNGAGACGNGCCGACGGACGACGACGAGGGAGGAGG